AUUGAACGCUGGCGGCAGGCCUAACACAUGCAAGUCGAGCGGAUGACGGGAGCUUGCUCCUUGAUUCAGCGGCGGACGGGUGAGUAAUGCCUAGGAAUCUGCCUGGUAGUGGGCGACAACGUUUCGAAAGGAACGCUAAUACCGCAUACGUCCUACGGGAGAAAGCAGGGGACCCUCGGGCCUUGCGCUAUCAGAUGAGCCUAGGUCGGAUUAGCUAGUUGGUGGGGUAAUGGCUAACCAAGGCGACGAUCCGUAACUGGUCUGAGAGGAUGAUCAGUCACACUGGAACUGAGACACGGUCCAGACUCCUACGGGAGGCAGCAGUGGGGAAUAUUGGACAAUGGGCGAAAGCCUGAUCCAGCCAUGCCGCGUGUGUGAAGAAGGUCUUCGGAUUGUAAAGCACUUUAAGUUGGGAGGAAGGGCAGUAAGUUAAUACCUUGCUGUUUUGACGUUACCGACAGAAUAAGCACCGGCUAACUCUGUGCCAGCCGCCGCGGUAA
rnacentral:rRNA from 1 species